GAUGAAGAACGUAGCGAAAUGCGAUAAGUAAUGUGAAUUGCAGAAUUCAGUGUAUCAUCGAAUCUUUGAACGCACAUUGCGCCCGCCAGUAUUCUGGCGGGCAUGCCUGUUCGAGCGUCAUUUCAACCAUCAAGCCCCAGGCUUGUGUUGGGGACCUGCGGCUGCCGCAGGCCCUGAAAACCAGUGGCGGGCUCGCUGUCACACCGGGCGUAGUAGAUUUUAUCUCGCUCAGGGCGUGCUGCGGGUUCCGGCCGUUAAAAAGCCUUUUUUACCCAAGGUUGACCUCGGAUCAGGUAGGAAGACCCGCUGAACUUAAGCAUAUCAAUAGCGGAGGA
rnacentral:misc_RNA from 1 species